rnacentral:lncRNA from 1 species
CCUCUAAUAUCUAUGAGAUCAAAUUUAUAAAACAUCUAUUAAUAUAAUUAAUUUCAAUGUACUAGUAUACAUGUAAGAAUUGUUGCCAUUUAUACAUCAUGUACAUGUACAAUCAUUAGCUGAUCAGCUCACUAUUUUUUUCAUUAUUUUUAUUCUCCUUCACUGUUUUUUUUAUAAGACUCAUAUAUAUGAUCUGUAUUCAUCAUUGGGACAGGUAGCUAAAUAUAUAUAGGUGAAGUAGGUCCUUUUGAUUGGAUUUUUUAAAGGAUUUUGACAGCACUAAAGCAUAUACAUGUAGUUCCAAUUUAUAGUUGAUCUUAGCUCCUUAAGUGGAUUGUGGCAACACAUAUUGCAUAUAUACAUGUAGAAUGUUGUUCUUAAGUUUCAGCACUUUACGCAUAGUUUCCGGUUGCAAGACUAGAAUAUGAUACUGGCUUCUCAUGAAAUUCUGUCAGUACUUUGCCAAUAGUUUCCAAGUAAAGUUGAACAUUCCAAGAUCACUCCUUCCAUUUGCAAUGUACAUGUACAAAUGUACUUGCAGCCUGAAAUUAAAUAUCAGAGUAAUUCUGUCAGAAAAUCAACAAUUAUUGACAUUCAAAAGCAUAUAGAUGUAGACUAGUUCAUUAUGGUAAUGUGUCCAUGGGACACAGAUGAGCAGCCGCUUGCAUAUAAAGAAUGAAAAGAGUGACACCACCCA